AACCCUGAAUCUUCUAUAUUUUGUUAUCUCUUAGCAUAAACCCCGCUUCCUAUAUACCCACACACCCCUCUGCCUCAUCUAACCAGACACUGGCAGCAACGAAUCUUCUCCCGCAUCCCUGAGGGGAGAGUAUUCACGGUCGUGUUGAGCUGUAGCAGGCAGAGGCUCCCGGAACCCAGCUGGGAGACAGGUGCUGACUGUCCAGGCAAGUUUUGAAGACUCUAGAUGAAAGGCGUUACUAUCACAGGGCAAAGUGAACUCUGUGUGAUCCAAGCAGCAAGACAGCAUUUGUGAAAACCUGACCAUGAAGCAGAAAAGUAAAAUACAGGAGGCACCUAAGGGCUUGGAUGAAGUUUCUUUGGAGUUAAUCCCACUUUGGCGUAAAUCAUGUAGAUAAUCUCACUUGGAUAGUUAGAUGUUAGCCAUAGCAAAACAAAGAACUAAAUGCAACUAAAAGGAGCUUUUGUGUUGGAACCAUGAAGCAAAGAAGUGAAUUUGCUUUUCCACCCUGAAAACUCUGUAAUAAGCGCCAUAGCUGCAUUUUUGUGACUUAAUUUUCUGGUCAGUGGCCAGUUCUCCAGCCUCGGUGAUAUCUGAUCCCUAAUGAAAUCUGAAUCCGAAGGAGAAUCUGCAUAAUGAAAUUACACUGAACAAGCCACUUUCCAGCCUGUGCUGGUGACCUCCAGGACAAAAAGCCUUUCCAUUUCCUGGAGAGCAAAUUGCCUGCCUCCUCAAUGACGAAGGCCUAAUCAGCCCCACGGUUAUUCAGCAGGGCUCUGAGUGUGAAGCAGC